ensembl:lncRNA
CAGGGGGUCAGGGGGUCAGGGGCUCCAACACAAUGGGCCUCAUGCAGCAACAUCCUCAUACAUUUCUCUCAUAGUUUCCCUUCAUUUUCUGUUAAAAAAUGAAAUAAGAGGAGUCAACUCCAGAUGCACCAAGCCGUCCAAAUCUACUCUUACCCUGUUGCGCUGAAUGAUGAAUUCCACUUUAUCAUAAAUUGGCGCGUGGCCGCUUGUUUAGUAUUACCACAAGUAACGCUAUAGAAGGGCAGGUGUUGUGUUGUGUGCAAAUGCAAAUGCACAUCUAGUAUCUAAGAGCAGUGUAUGUAAGCCAUUCAGAAGCUGAACACAUGCAGCAAUACCCAAUGGUUAUCCAAUCAUCAUAAUUACUCUGAUAUAUAAUAAUCUAAAUUUGAUUAUAUGAUAUUCAUGUGUUUUUUUAUGUUCCUCACAUUUAAAACAUAUGUUUCAUUAUGUUUCAACAAAUUUGGGACUGUAUCUUGUCAAGAGUGCUCUUGACCACUCGUAAACUGUUCUCCUACGUAAGAGAAAAGCCAAAAUAAGAAAACAUUGGUGAAUCCCAGAAAUCAGUGGGUACUGACAAAAUAACAACAAAUCGUGGAUGUGAACAUUUUAUCGUAUACCGCUUUCUGCAUUAGUCCCAACGUUUCAUAUACCUAUAUAAUAUAAUCUAUAUUAAGAUAAGUAAGACAGGCGAUCAGUUAGACAGGCGAUCAGUUAGACAGGUGUCAUGACUGGCUCACAGCCAUGGCAAAUAACAGAGAUUCACACAGAGCUUAACUCCAAAACGGUAUUACUUUAUUCGACUACGGUCAUAUGACCAGGCAAGACUACAGUGAGGUGGGGACAGUCAGUGGAUCAGUAGGGAUGUCAUGUAGGUAUGCAUGCUAGGGCAGUAGAUGGAAUGUUGUAUCUUAGCAAGUACGUAUCGAUGAGCGUAGCGCGUCCUUAAUCUCUCUCUGAAUAUCCGUCAGGAUCUCCAUGGCAAUCUCCUGAUGAAUCAGGGUGACUGGCUAUUAUAGUACUGGGAACACCGGUCCCAGGUGUUCCCAAUAACUGACGAGCCAACACACCUGCGGGUCAUCUGUAACACAACACAGAGACAGACAAACAGCCCGCCCAGCAACCCAAAAGAGGCGGGGUCGUCACACAGGUGAUCAGUUAGACAGGUGAUCAGUUAGACAGGCUGGUGAGGAGGGACAGCUGGAGCUUGGUGAUGUUUUGGGGUAGGAAAGUAGAUUUUGGAUUUGUUCAUCUCCAAGAAGAGUAGUUUGAUAAGGUGAACAAAUAUGGCAAAAACAUUAUCUACUUACCCACUGAUGAAACAGAAGCGUUGGAAUUUCUAGCUUAUAGGACAGGAAUUGACAGAAUAAUAUAGUUUAGAAACAGUGCUGCAUAUUUAUAUAUAUUCUUGCAUAGGGUGUUUACGUGUUCUAUAUGUCUUCUGUACAUAUUUUUUCUUCCUCAGAAUGAUGGCCUGGUCCGUCCUUCAGCUUUCAAACCGGUAGUGCCCAAGAGUUUUCACUCAAUGCAGAACCUGGUGUCCCCCGCCCAAAAGGGACCCGGCGGGGGGAGAGGCGGUGGC